CUUCACACAUAUACACACAAAUAGCCCUUUCUUCACACACACACACACACAGCCCUUCAAGUAGGUUCUUAUUAACCCAAAGAAGACUUCCAUGUGAAGGAGACAGCAGGGCUGCUUGGCUUGCACCUGGAACCGCUUCAUGUUGCCCAGCCCCUGUGCCAGCUCGCAUCUCCCUGCGCCAGCUCACAUCAUCUCCGCACUCUUUCUGCAUCCUCCCAAUAAAUACCCGCCCAACUCCAUCGACAGCUCGAGGCUCCAUCAACCCAGCUCCAGGCCAUCCAGAACCUCGUUUAUCUAGGAAGACAGUCCUGCUGCAAGCACACAUUUGUAAGACCAGAUGACACACUCCAGAGCUGGCUUGAGGUUGCUCCAGCUGUGCCGCCAUGUGCAACAAACCCAUUCUUUCACAAGCUUGGAGCUGCAGGACAUUUUCCUGCCCAGUACUGUUGAGUUCUCAGGUGUGGAAGGCACUCCAGAGUGAGCCUCCUGCUCAGCUGGCCGUCCUGGGUGAAGCCAGCCACGCUGGCUUCGCUCCCCCUGGAGGAAACCUGGAUAAGCCUGAGGGCUUGGCAGAAGAGUGCGGGUCUGGCGUUCCUCACACAAGAAGCAGCUAUGAUGUGUCAGCUGGGAAAAUCCCACUGUGAGGUGAGCCCCACUCAGGCAUGCGAUCCUGUCACUGGUGGCCACAAGUUCACUGUUGUUGUUUUUUUGGAAUUUCGAUACAGGGUUUCUCUGUGUGGCUCUGGCUUCUAAACCUCACUCUGUAGACCAGGCUGUCCUGGAACUCACAGAGAUCUGCCUGCCUCUGCCUCCCGUGUGCUGGAAUUACAGGCGAGCACCACCACCCGGCUUGUAAGUUCACUGUUAAUGGAUCAACAUGUAACAAACAAGGUGCUUUCAAACAGAAGCACAGGUAGACAGGAGGGCCACAGGUCGGGGGAAAGCUGUGUCCAGAGGCUCACAGGAGCCCUAUUUCUCAUGGGAGCAGCGCUUCCACGGUCACCAGCUCCGUAAUCACAGCAGAUUUCUAAAACGAGACUACAGGUGCAAUGCCGGGGCCCACCUGGACUCAGCGAAUGAGAAGCAGCUCUCUGGCCUGGGGCUUGUGUUUUUAGCUUCAUGGGUGAUGCUGACGCUGGCCCUGGGCUGGGACCUCUGCCUGCCACGUUCAGAGCAGUUAAGCCAAGCCUUCAGGGUAGAGAUCUGAGAAUGUGGCUGGGCGCCCGGAGACUGUGUGUGGUGUGAGGCCGUGCUGUGAGCACAGCUAACAGUGCUAGGGACCCUGAGCAAGUCACCUAACCUAGGAGCCUCUGUUCCCCAGCUGCCUCAGGAGGUGGCAGUGUGCAGUGUGUGUUGCCUGGACACCCGCGUGUCUGUGUACGAGGACCCUGGAGCUCCGCUGACCCCAGGGAGAAAUGUGUCUUCUGAGGAAGAACUCACCACAAGAGAGACAGCAGACGGGUUUGGCACAGGGGCAGCAGUCCCUUGCCCUAGGAGGGACAGGAGGGGGAGGACAUGGAAGGCCACGUGGUGCCAGCCAGGCAGGUGAGCCUCUGAGCUGCAACUUGUGCCGUCUCUCCCUCAGUGCUCUUCAGGGAAAGCUUCCUCAAGAAUCUUGGUAAUGCUUGGGAACGAGAGGCCACACAGUGAGGAGCGGACAGCCGGCGUGUGGGACCGACGGGCCCGAGGGGAGAGGCCACACAGCCACGCUGCCCGGCUCGCUUGCCGGGGAAAUAGUUCCCAGCCGCAUCCCGUGCCCACACCUCAGCUUUGGAGGCCACCCAUGUCUGCGUCACCGGUCACCUCAAGCAGCUGGGCAGAGGAUUGAGACCCCGAGCCAGGUGGGACACAGCCUGAGACACCCACCUAGGGGAAACCGGGGACCCUGCUGGAGGCUGCAGCUCGUCCAGAGCUGGGGAAGGUGGCUUGAAAGUUCAUCCCCCACGUGUUCAGACGGGUGAGGUCAAGUCCCUGGUUCUGCCAGAGCUGGUGGCUACCAAAGAGUUUUGAAACGAUGCAAGAAGAGCCAGACCCACGGGGGUUUUCACACCAGUCCUUGUCGACGCACCUGGGCAGGGCAGCAUGCAUGGCGAGCCAACCAGAGCUGGCAGUUCUGUACGUCAGGGCACACUCUGCAGGGCUCUAGACGCCCGAGCCUGGGAGAGGCCGGCCUGAGGCAGCGUCCUCCCUCACCGGUUUAUAUGUGUUGUCAGCCAGCGAGUGCUAGCUCUCCAAGCCAGCUUUUCCUGCAGUACAAUUUCCUGCAGUAUAAAUGGAAUUAUAUUUCAGCCAGCGUUUCUCUGUUUGCUUUGGAUGGAUAAACUGUAUUUUUGCCCUUAUUCAUAACAGCCAAGAUACGGAAACAACCCAGAUAUCCGUCAGUAGGUGAUGGAUAAAGGAAAUGUGCUAUUUGAGCACAGCGGCCUAUUAUUGAGGCUUUAGAAGGGGGAGGGACUCCUGUCAAUUGCAGAGCAUGGAGGGAAAAGCCAAGAGGACUUUAUUCUGAUGUAGCCGGACAGUGAGAGUGACAGACACUGUAGGAGGUCACGUGUGUGAGGUAUGUGGAUAGUAAAACCCUUGGAAGCAGAAUGAGGGUGGUGAUGAGAAGUGCAAACAAACAAACCAUGGGAAUAAAGCUUGUGUUUCAAAAAGGAGCUGAGCGCCAGUGAUCUGCUGAGCAACGCAACGCCUGCCCUAAACAAUCGGUGUGACCGGGGUGGAGUGGAGGCAGGAGAGUCAGGAGCUCAGCGUCACCCGUGGCUACAUGUUGAGUUCAAGGCCAGUGUGGGCUAUACAAGACGGUAUAUCAAAACCCAAACCUGCGCGGUAUCAUGAAGCUCUUUAUGCCCAUGGUUUCCCCACUUCGCCCCACACAGAGACCCACGAAGGCAAAAACAUGUUUGGGGAAGUGACAAGUGGAAAUGACAUCAUAGGUGUGAUGCUUAGCCCCCUCACGGGACCUGGAGUCACCUCAGAGGCAGAUCCCUGGGCAUUUCUGUGGGUAACUGAGGAGGAAGGACACCCUAAAUGUGCCUCGUCCACCCAUGAGCCGAGGGCACCGCGGACGUUCCCCAACACGGGAGCCCGGGCUCCGCUGCCCACUGAGCCUCCCCUGUGCCUUGACUCUCCACUGGGAAGGCGAAGGUGGUGUCAGCCUCACAGGGUCUCCGGAUCCCCGUCGACCACGUAUGUCAGGCUGGCUGCAGUCACUGGUGAGUCAGCCUGGCUAUUAAUGCAGUUGCUACCUCACCACUUCUCAGCUGCUGACGUGUGCCGCACGCCCAGGCCUCCUGACCGGGAUCUGCUGUUCUUUCCAACACGUCACUCCGAGAGUGCACACAGCCCCGGCCUGCAGCCAGACUGCGACCAGCAAAGCCACCACCCCUGGGACCCUUCCAUCAAAGCCUGUGGAGCCAAGAGUGGAUCUACCCCUGGGAACGGAGGUGUAGAACAAGGAUCCGGCAGGGCGCAUCCAGGUCCUCUGAGGAGCCACCGGCUGCUCCUGUUAGCAUUUCGUUUUGGAAACACUGGGAACCAAAAAUAGAAGUUCUUGAGCAAAGCUUAAUCCUACUCCUGGCUUUCAGGCCAGCUGCUGGAGGGACUGCGACCCGGCCACCAGGGGGCACUGUCACCUGUGCGGGUGCUGGAAUUCGGGCCCCGCAGAUUCCCCAGGAAAGCCUUCCACGCCAGGUUCUGUGGCCCCCCCACGGACCUCCGCCUCCCAAUCUGAUGAAAAGCAACUUAAAAUCAGCCCAGUGCCCCCCUCCCUGGGGACCCCUCAGAGCUGGGCUGGCUCCUGACUUUUCUUCUCCUGGAUUCUUCCAGGACCCCCCUCCCCGGGCCUGACUGCCCGCUGAGUGUGAAAUACACAUCUGAGUGUCCAGCGGAUAGAUGUGUAGAAAGUGUGGUUCACAAAUUGCCAGCAGCCCCAAAGAGCAAACAUGUUAACAGUUUUAAAUCUGUAAUCAGCUUCGGCUGGUGGACAGACGUCCAUGGGCUUGGACAGCUGCUUUCACGGGCAGAGAAGGCCGAGGAAAGGAGGAAGCCGCAGGUCCCAGGCUGGUCCUUUUUAAACUUCCUGUCCUUUUAGGGAGUCUCUGCUCAGUGGGACUGGGCUGCUUCUCUCCUGCUUCCGGGAAGGGCAGAGCCUAGGGCUGGGUUUGGUGCUGUGGAGUAGCCUGUGGGGUUCCACUUGGGCUGUCCUAUUAGGGAGCUCAGGGCAAGUCAGUGGCCUUCCGUGCAUUUUAGUUCACUUCAAAUAUUUAGUUGUUUUUGCGUAUGUGUGUAGGAUCCGUGUUGGCAUAUGAGGGGCAUGUGUGCCAUGGCACACAGGUCGGAGGGCAACCUUGGGUGCUGUUUCUCAUCUUCUGCCUUGCCUUUGAGGCGGGAUCUCUCUUGUUUGCCACUGCUCUGUGUGGUCCAGACCAGCUGCAUGAGCUUCCAGGAGAGUCUCCUGUCUGCGUCUCCCACGUGGGAGCAGGAGUUCUAGAACUCCAGACGUGUGCCAGACCUGCUUUUCCAUAGGUUCAGUCAGGGAGCCAACUUUGGUCGUCAGGUUUGGCAGCAGGUGCCAUUACCUUCUGAGCCACUGCCCCAGCCCUGCACUUCACUUAACAAGCAGAAGUUGCCGGAGCUUUGAUGGAGCGACAGAAAAGGUGAGCGCGUUGUAGCAGAGAGAAGGGCAUGGCUGGAAGGGAAAACCGUGGAUAAGCAGAGAAGAGGAGAAAGGAGAGUCAGGCAGGCCCAGGCAGGAAGGCACUGGAUGGGCUUUUGGGGACUCGCUGGGAGACUCCCUAAUGCUGAGACCAAACCCUCUACUUCAGGGUCCUGAGUGACGGUACCAGGAAAUGGGGAAGAUGAGGCCAGCCAGGGACUCCCAGCUGCUUCCCACCUGGCUUCCAGCUGUUCUAUCUGGCCCCCAAGGCCAUAUUCGUUUUAUGUCUUUGAGGUGGUUCCUAGUCACCACCAUCAGCUAUGAGCUCCCCCUGGGGGGCCUGGCUCCCACUAGCUCCCACAGACUCCCACAGACUUUCACUGGCUCCCACAGGCUCCCACAGACUCCCACAGGCUCCCACAGGCUUUCACAGGCUCCCACAGGCUCCCACUAGCUCCCACAGACUCCCACAGGCUCCCACAGGCUUUCACAGGCUCCCACAGACUCCCACAGGCUCCCACUAGCUCCCACAGACUCCCACAGGUUCUCACAGACUCCCACAGACUCCCACUAGCUCCCACAGACUCCCACAGGCUCCCACAGACUCCCAUAGGCUCCCACAGAACAGGCUUUCACUGGCUCCCACAGACUCCCACUAGCUCCCACAGACUCCCACAGACUCCCACAGGCUCCCACAGGCUCCCACAGACUCCCACAGGCUCCCACAGGCUCCCACAGGCUUUCACUGGCUCCCACAGGCUCCCACAGACUUUCACUGGCUCCCACAGGCUUUCACUGGCUCCCACAGACUCCCACUAGCUCCCACAGACUCCCACAGACUCCCACAGGCUCCCACAGACUCCCACAGGCUCCCACAGGCUCCCACAGGCUUUCACUGGCUCCCACAGGCUCCCACAGACUUUCACUGGCUCCCACAGGCUUUCACUGGCUCCCACAGACUUUCACUGGCUCCCACAGACUUUCACUGGCUCCCACAGACUCCCACAGGCUCCUGUCAAAGACGCCAUGGGGCCCCGUACCCCAGGUCAGUAUCACAUUAUUGUUCCAAGGAGUUUCUCUCAGAGGAAGCCAUCGGCUUGCCAUUUCCUACAGAAUUCUUAGGCAGCCUAGAAGGCGGUAAACACACUUUGUUAACUAAAGGGUGAACUAUCGGAAGGAUGUGAGGGAGCAGUGUCUCCGAAUGUCUUCCCUGCCCAGGACCCAGAGCCUCUGCCACUGCCCCCUGCUCCCAAGCUGUGUCCUCACUGUCACUGCCCUGGGCCAGGACUGCAAGGGAAGACUGCACCUUUGUGUGCGAAGCAGCAAAUACAGAGCUCCAGCACAUGGUCCUCGCACAGCUCCACCGCACGGCACCAUUGUAGCCACCGUGUACCAUGCCACAGACUCAGACAAGCCCAACAGGAUGAGCUGAGGCCAGAGCACAACUGGAGGCCACAGGGGUGUCUGUGGCUGUAUCACCCUGAAUGUGCCCGGUGUCAUCUGAGGGGAAGAGACAGGCAGAGCCAGGAUCCGCAGCAAGCUCCACAUUCCAGGAGGUGGCGUGUGAGACGAGCCGCAGACAGCCAGGGAGCUCCAAAGAGCCACAGGAGCUCCAAAGAGCCACCGUGUUCCACACGUCCAGGGUCAGCACCAGGCUCGGCCUCCAGACCAGCCUGGAUUUCAGCCGCUGGCUUCCUUGCCGCAGGGGGCACCAGAGCCCUGCUACACAAGCUGUGCCCUGCGGCCCCCCUCUUCUAGUAACUGCUACAGUUCAUAGCCUGUCCCCUCUCCCCUGGACGUCCCACACCCUCUCAGCACCCUAGACAGGAAAAGGUCAGAACCAGGCUGUGCCUUGCUGGAGGGCAGGAGGGCCUAGAACCAGGGAACUGAGGACUUGCGCCAACACUAAAGCAUCAGGAGACUUGGGCUGCAAGACAGUGUCCUACCCCUGCGGAUAACUGCCCACCCACAGCCUUCUGGCCACUCAGGCAGGUCUCUGAAUAGCAGCAUAGCUAGAAGCAGCUCUCAGUGACCCCACAGGGAGAGGACAUGGCGGCAACCCCAGGACUGACGGAUGGUCUGGCUCCAGGGAGUGUCCUCCCUCCCGUUUCCCUCUGGGCCCCAGAGCAGGUGGUCUGAGGCCAGGAGAGGCGGCCCAGCUGGCUCCCUGGACAGCCAAGAUCAGCAGCAAGGCCAACGUCUGUUUUCCUCCCGGGCUACCCAGGCUGGUCACCACUUGCUGCUGUGGUUGCCUGGGGAACCACUUGCUAUUUUCAUGUAGACUCCAAAUAAGGAACCAUGGAAACGCUCUGGCAAGGCUGGUCUGGAGGUGACGCUCAGAGGCUGUGCCAGAAGGGAGAGCUUGGCGGGAAGAGGAAAGGCUCAACACUCACACACGCAGGCCCCAGUGUGGGGUGGGAGAGGGUGGCGGGGAGAGGUUGUGCCCAGAGAGAGGAGAACCAGUUCAUUCGCUCCCACGUGCUCCUCUCCCCUGCUGUCCACAGGACCAAACGUUCACGGCUCUGGACGCCCUGCUAGGCACGGAUACAACAAAUCAAGUGAGGUGUCCCAGUCCCACGGCGGGCUGCCACACAAGACACGGCAGUUCAGCAGGACCCAUGCGACCCCGGGCCUCGUGGGUGUCUGCUGCCAUCUUGGCCUGGGCUCUGAGUCUGAGGAGCCCACCUGCUGAAGUCCCCAGAAGAUGAAAGGUGUUUGCAGGCAGCGUGGGAAGGGGACACGCGUGGGCCAGGAGAGACUGAGUAUGCACUUCCAGAGUGUGUGUUCAACCCUGGGCGAAGCAGGAGCCAGGCCAAGAGCCAGCCCAUCCUGGGGGGGGGGGGGAUGAGAUGAUCUGGAACCGCCAAAGCAGUCAUGAUCAGGCCCCAGGUGGCACAAAUGCAGCCCGGGCCAUUCCCUGGAGAGAGGCUUCCCCGCCAUCCAUGAGAUUCGGGAGGCUCCACAGGGCAGCUAGGCCCGGAGGCUGCAGGAGGGAGCCUCCACUAGGAGAGCCAGGCGAGGGCUAGGGCCAGGCUGGCAGUCCCUUCCCAAAGCACACUGGGCAUGCCUCCAAGUGCCUUCUGCCAGCCUGGGGCCAUACCCCUGCUGGAAGGUGGAGGUGGUGUGCAGCAGAGGGGGACAAAUGUGGAGGAACGCAGCACCCACAGGUGUCAGGAACCAGCUGGACACAGCACCUGCCUCCCCCCAGGCCUGGGGCAGCCUUGUGACAUGGCCGUUUGAGCUUUAGCACCCACAGGUGUCAGGAACCAGCUGAGCACACACCUGCCUCCCCCCAGGCCUGGGGCAGCCUUGUGACAUGGCCGUUUGAGCUUUAGCACCCACAGGUGUCAGGAACCAGCUGGACACAGCACCUGCCUCCCCCCAGGCCUGGGGCAGCCUUGUGACAUGGCCGUUUGAGCUUUAGCACCCACAGGUGUCAGGAACCAGCUGAGCACACACCUGCCUCCCCCCAGGCCUGGGGCAGCCUUGUGACAUGGCCGUUUGAGCUUUAGCACCCACAGGUGUCAGGAACCAGCUGGACACAGCACCUGCCUCCCCCCAGGCCUGGGGCAGCCUUGUGACAUGGCCGUUUGAGCUUUAGCACCCACAGGUGUCAGGAACCAGCUGGACACAGCACCUGCCUCCCCCAGUACCGGGACAGUCUUGUGACAUGACUAGUUUUGCCCUCCUUGUGAACAUUAAGAAACUGAAGUUCCAAGAAGCUACCUGGCCUCACCAGAGCUGCAUCGAUGAAGUCAGGAUUCAAACACAGGCGUGACUCGGAAACCCAUUUCUACAAGGGCACGAAUACCCGAUGCAUCUCAGGAGCUGCAGAGUCCAAGAUGACAAGUACCGUGUCAUGAGAACCUAACGUGGGAGGGGACCACAGAGGCCGGACCUGUCCCAAACAACCUAUGCCCAUGAAGACUAGAAAUGAUGGUGGCUGCCUGUCCUCAGAUCAUGACAGAAAAAGUCACCCACAGAAAGAAGCAGGGCUCCCAGGCUUCUUCAUUCUCCUCCUUCUCUUCCUCUCUCUCUAUCUCUGUCUCUUUCACACACACAGAUGCACACGCACACCAGACAGACACACAAUCCACUGUGCUCCUUGCUACUGGCUCACAGAGGCAAUGAGCAUAACAACCAGCAGUAAACAGAACCAAGCUUGGGGGCAGCUGGUUUACUAACCUGAGCUGGAAGUGUGUAAAAUGGGGUGAGGCGAGGGGCAGCACCUCCAGCCCCAGCACUCACACUCAGCCAGGACAGGCCGUACUGUUUACUGGGUACCACAGUAAGCAGUUGGGGCUCGCUCUAAUUUGGGUCUGGCUUGCACAUAUGUGAAAAGCUUGCCUGCCAGGCUAUGGUACCAGGGCAAGGCGUGGGGCCUAGUAGAAGGAAUUUAGCCCUGAAGAGGAUGUUGGACUGUCAGCCUUCCCUUCCACGGCUUUGAUCCCUGGCUAUCGUCAGGUGAAGAGCUGGCUCCGUUCACCCCACCCUCUCGAUGCCACUCUGCAAGCCCAGAGGCAAAGGAACGAUGAGCUGUAGGCUGAAGCCUCUGAAACAGUGGGCAAAACUGUUUUCAUCCUUUGAGCGGAUGAGCAUGGCACAGAGAAACCCCACAGCAGCUGAAGGUUGCACACCGAAAAAGUUAAUGCCUUGCACCUGCUGGUUUGCAAAUAUCCUUGCAUGGUCCGGGAGCCCAGGGAGGAAAGUGGAAUCAUGCUGUCAGGCUGCCUGGUUGUGAAACAGAGAGCCAAACACCACAGGUUCACAGCAUGAAACAACUGUCCAGGUGACGUGAUACCUGGUGUCCUGGACAGAAGUGGCAGGGCCAGGCUUCAGACCUGCACCAGAGGGAUGGUGUCUGCCUGGGGUGUGCCCCGGCCCUCCCUGCAGGACCUCCUGGGGUCUGGACUCUGAACACAGAUUUCCAGCUUUGGCCCCUGGCAGAAGUUAUCAGCAGGCUGAGGAUGCCCAGUGACCAGGAGGCAGCAGGUAAGGUGUCAAGAAAAUCCCUGCAGCAGA